GGCCAGUUAGCUCAGUGGUUUGAGCACGGUGCUGACAACAAUGACAACACCGAGAUUGUGGGUUUGAUUCCCGCUCGGUCCC
rfam:Apaloderma vittatum contig3085, whole genome shotgun sequence.